rnacentral:rRNA from 1 species
ACUUAGGAAAGAUUCUUCGGAUGAUUUCCUAUUUGACUGAGCGGCGGACGGGUGAGUAACGCGUAUGUAACCUACCUAUAACAGGGGCAUAACACUGAGAAAUUGGUACUAAUUCCCCAUAAUAUUCGGAGAGGCAUCUCUCCGGGUUGAAAACUCCGGUGGUUAUGGAUGGGCAUGCGUUGUAUUAGCUGGUUGGAGGGGUAACGGCCCACCAAGGCGACGAUCAGUAGCCGGUCUGAGAGGAUGAACGGCCACACUGGAACUGAGACACGGUCCAGACUCC